rnacentral:rRNA from 1 species
GACGAACGCUGGCGGCGUGCUUAACACAUGCAAGUCGAACGGAAAGGCCCUGCUUUUGUGGGGUGCUCGAGUGGCGAACGGGUGAGUAACACGUGAGUAACCUGCCCUUGACUUUGGGAUAACUUCAGGAAACUGAGGCUAAUACCGGAUAGGAGCUCCUGCUGCAUGGUGGGGGUUGGAAAGUUUCGGCGGUUGGGGAUGGACUCGCGGCUUAUCAGCUUGUUGGUGGGGUAGUGGCUUACCAAGGCUUUGACGGGUAGCCGGCCUGAGGGGGUGACCGGCCACAUUGGGACUGAGAUACGGCCCAGACUCCUACGGGAGGCAGCAGUGGGGAAUAUUGCACAAUGGGCGGAAGCCUGAUGCAGCAACGCCGCGUGCGGGAUGACGGCCUUCGGGUUGUAAACCGCUUUCGCCUGUGACGAAGCGUGAGUGACGGUAAUGGGUAAAGAAGCACCGGCUAACUACGUG